GGAUUAGUGGCCGAUGGCUACCCUGACCCAGAGACACUUGGGGGAAAGCCACCGCUGGUAUCCGUCUUCGGGCGUGACUGGUGGUCGGUCUCCUCCUCUUGCGGGGUGUAUGGCGCACUGAGCGACGGUUCUCUAGGGGACUCGACCUCGUGUGCGGCGGACCAUCCUGUGGGGAACUCAGUGGGGGCAAUCGGAGAGUGGGUGAGAGUCGUAGGGAUGCCCGUCGGGUCUCCGGCUCCACACUCACUUCGCUACACCGUGCGGUGUAGCGUCUUCCAGUCAACCAUUCGACCUCGCUUGCGGGGUGUCGAGGGGCGUGCCCCUCGUUACGAUAGGUACCUGGUUGAUUCUGCCAGUAGUCAUAUGCU
rnacentral:misc_RNA from 1 species